rnacentral:SRP_RNA from 1 species
GCCGGGCACAGUGGCACGUGCCUGUAGUCCCAGCUACUCGGGAGGCUGAGGCUGGAGGAUCGCUUGAGUCCAGGAGUUCUGGGCUGUAGUGCGCUAUGCCGAUUGGGUGUCCGCACUAAGUUUGGCAUCAGCAUGGUGACUUCCUGGGAGUGGGGGACCACGAGGUUGCCUAAGGAGGGGUGAACCAGUCCAGGUUGGAAACUGAGCAGGUCAAAACUCCCGUGCCAAUCAGUAGUGGGAUCGAGUCUGUGAAUAGUCACUGCACUCCAGCCUGGGCAACAUAGCAAGACCCCAUCUCU